rnacentral:rRNA from 1 species
GAUGAACGCUGGCGGCGUGCCUAAUACAUGCAAGUCGAGCGAACGGACGAGAAGCUUGCUUCUCUGAUGUUAGCGGCGGACGGGUGAGUAACACGUGGAUAACCUACCUAUAAGACUGGGAUAACUUCGGGGAACCGGAGCUAAUACCGGAUAAUAUUUUGAACCGCAUGGUUCAAAAGUGAAAGACGGUCUUGCUGUCACUUAUAGAUGGAUCCGCGCUGCAUUAGCUAGUUGGUAAGGUAACGGCUUACCAAGGCAACGAUGCAUAGCCGACCUGAGAGGGUGAUCGGCCACACUGGAACCGAGACACGGUCCAGACUCCUACGGGAGGCAGCAGUAGGGAAUCUUCCGCAAUGGGCGAAAGCCUGACGGAGCAACGCCGCGUGAGUGAUGAAGGUCUUCGGAUCGUAAAACUCUGUUAUUAGGGAAGAACAUAUGUGUAAGUAACUGUGCACAUCUUGACGGUACCUAAUCAGAAAGCCACGGCUAACUACGUGCCAGCAGCCGCGGUAAUACGUAGGUGGCAAGCGUUAUCCGGAAUUAUUGGGCGUAAAGCGCGCGUAGGCGGUUUUUUAAGUCUGAUGUGAAAGCCCACGGCUCAACCGUGGAGGGUCAUUGGAAACUGGAAAACUUGAGUGCAGAAGAGGAAAGUGGAAUUCCAUGUGUAGCGGUGAAAUGCGCAGAGAUAUGGAGGAACACCAGUGGCGAAGGCGACUUUCUGGUCUGUAACUGACGCUGAUGUGCGAAAGCGUGGGGAUCAAACAGGAUUAGAUACCCUGGUAGUCCACGCCGUAAACGAUGAGUGCUAAGUGUUAGGGGGUUUCCGCCCCUUAGUGCUGCAGCUAACGCAUUAAGCACUCCGCCUGGGGAGUACGACCGCAAGGUUGAAACUCAGAGGAAUUGACGGGGACCCGCACAAGCGGUGGAGCAUGUGGUUUAAUUCGAAGCAACGCGAAGAACCUUACCAAAUCUUGACAUCCUUUGACAACUCUAGAGAUAGAGCUUUCCCCUUCGGGGGACAAAGUGACAGGUGGUGCAUGGUUGUCGUCAGCUCGUGUCGUGAGAUGUUGGGUUAAGUCCCGCAACGAGCGCAACCCUUAAGCUUAGUUGCCAUCAUUAAGUUGGGCACUCUAAGUUGACUGCCGGUGACAAACCGGAGGAAGGUGGGGAUGACGUCAAAUCAUCAUGCCCCUUAUGAUUUGGGCUACACACGUGCUACAAUGGACAAUACAAAGGGCAGCGAAACCGCGAGGUCAAGCAAAUCCCAUAAAGUUGUUCUCAGUUCGGAUUGUAGUCUGCAACUCGACUACAUGAAGCUGGAAUCGCUAGUAAUCGUAGAUCAGCAUGCUACGGUGAAUACGUUCCCGGGUCU